UCUUUUGCUUGGUGUCGUCCACUAUGGCUUUCCUCAUCAUUCUGCGCCUCGGGCCCUUUACUUGCAACCUCGCGACAGUCCUUUGUCUAUGGAGUGGUGCAAAGGCGCACCCGUGCCUGCUGGCAGCGUCAACUACCGGCGGGGGGAGCCCGCCGCCGACGGCGGUAGAGGGCGGCCGUCUUGGAAGCGAAGGCCUCCAUGUCCGCGCGUUCGAGCGGGUUGGGUGGUGGUGUGGCCUCGUCGUACUUCCACAGGCUGUUGCGUGACUUGGCCACAGUCAGCGCGUGGAUGAGGGACGCCAAUCCCGCCUGGGCUGCUGUCUGUGCGUCUGUUUUUGGGCUGAGCCCCCCGAGCGAAGCGAUCCAGGGGGGGGCGAAGCCCCCCAGGAUUGCCCCUGUCCGUGCCUGCCUGCCUGCCUGCCUGCCUGCCUGCCUGCCGGUGCCUGCCUGCGUCGACAAAAAGUGCCAAACUGGCACAAACCGCGAGCGCUACGUAAUAUUACUUGCUAUUCCCUAUUGUAGAAAAAUAGGCAGCAGGUAAAACUCGGCCGGAGCGAGAAGCGACCUCGCGCGUCCAUGGACUUUAAUUGACUGGCGACUGUGGCGACUCGUUGCGAGGUAAAGGGCCCGAGGCGCAGAAUGGGGCUCGUGUACAGGUAGCCGGGUAGCCAGCAAGGUUCACACUGUACUCCUGCCCCCUCCCUCCCCAGGUGUGUGCGAAGUGCGGGCGGCGCUUACUCGGCAACGGGCAGCGCUGCCUGCAGGCGGUCGUACCAUGGGGGGGCUUACGUGCUCACCAAGUCCAAGUGUGCAACCACUGCGGGACGGUGUGGGUGAGUCCACUUUGUGGGCGGGCGGCUGGCUGGGCGAUGGAUGGGUGGCUGGGUGGCGGCUCAGUGGGGCUCAGUGGGUGAUGGCUGGCUGGGUGACGGCUCAGUGGGGCUCAGUGGGGCUCAGUGGGGCGCAGUCGUGGGCUCAGUGGGGCUCAGUGGGUGAUGGCUGGGUGACGGCUGGGUGACGGCUCAGUCGUGGGCUCAGUGGGACUCACUCACUCUACCCUCCCGACGGUGCAGGGACGUGACGUCAACUCCGCAACCAACAUCCGGCACGCGCUGGUGGAAAUGCUGCUGGGGCACAAGCGACCUGCAUCGCUGCAGACUGGCGGCGGCGGCGGCGGCGGCGGCGGCAGCGGCGGCAGCGGCGGCGGCGGCGGCGGCAGCGGCGGCGGCGGCAGCGGCAGCGGCGGCGGCGCGUGCGCGCAUCUUGGUAGCGGAGGGGGCGGGAAAGGCCACGUGGAGGAGGAGAGCGCAGCGCCGCCCAAGAAGCGGCGCAAGCGCGCAGGCUGAGGAGCCGGCUGGCGGUGUCUAGGUAGCGGUCCGCGGUGGGGCUGGCAGGGCAUGCGUUGCGGCAUGACAAGUAGUGCGGCUGUUGACAACUGUGCUACGUCUGGCUGCGGUUGGCUCUGCUGUGGCAUCGUGAUUGCUAGGCACCCAGUUUGGCUAUGUGCCUGUGGAAACCGACCCCGGCUAUGUCCGGGCGAUGAGGUUGUUCGGCCUCAGACUGUGGAGGGGCUCAGCCCCUUUUCCCGUGACCGGGGAACACUUGUCUAUGGAGUGCACCUUCUUUCCGCGACACCCCGUGAAAAGCUGUUGCCACUAAUUUCUCAGGAUGUACCUUGGUUGGGUAUGGAUGCGGAUGUUACAGAGGGGACAGUCCCAGCUCCCGAAGACGCCGAGCCAUCACAUGCUAUCAGGGCCCAACCCCGACUUUGCUGCAAACCCUCCCGCGGGCAAAGUCCGUGUGACUCCGCGCACAGUGAGUCCUAGCCAAGCCUCAACCCGCCAGAGCCCCACCGCUGUGCCUCAACGCCACAAGCCUAGGCACAGGAGUGCCGGGAAACGUCUAGGCCGCAGGACACACGCACAGCGCACGCACUAACCAGGGCGCAAGCGUCCAGGUACUAGAACGGUCGCCCACACGUGCAUCCUGCCCACACACAGAGCCACCAACCACGCACAACCUCUCACGGCGAGGGGGGCGGGGAAUCAGCGUCAUACGGCAAGCGCAAAACCAUGCCGUCACCAACAGCCCGAGACAUGAAGGGAUGCGCAAACGGCACAGCGUCCCAACCCUUUGGCCUGAUACCCAAAGUCACAAACGUCUGGAGACGACCCCAGAAGUCAGCUACGACGGCAAGUCCAAUGCUCAGCACCCGGGCCGACGGCAGCUUCGCUCGCGCCGCCAACCCGGCCAUAACCACACGCUGCCGACCAAAGUCCAGGGCAGACAUAGCAGCGAGACACACCACAUCCCACACAGGUGGCGCAAGCCCCGCAGGCGGGCGCACUAACCACAACUCCUCACGAGAGAAGGCACUUAGAGCCUCCUCCGGCAGGAAACCCAUAGCCAUCCCCAUACUUUCCCGCAGUGACAGCGCAACAGUGCAGUCCCAAAACCAGUGACGCCGGUCCCCAUCCUGCAUGUCCACCCCACACGCCCAACACGGGUCAACAGUAACGCCUCGCGCCCGCUCGCUAGCAUGCCGUGGAAACGCCCAGCAAGCGUUGGCGGCCACACGCCACAGUGCUUCCUUAUGAUGAUUCUCCCAUUUCAGCGACCACAAGCGGGCCAAGGUGCACACGAAGGCCCCCGCCGCCAGGGCAGCCCCCACCCCCGACACACCCGCAUCGCACACAUACUGCAAAUGCUUAGCCUUCAGGGCGGCUAACUGUGGAGCCAUUUGUAGCACGGUCCCCGCCUUCACCGUAUAGGCAGUGAGCAGGAUGGGCGGCCCCCCGCACUGCAACCAUCCGAGUCCCCGCACCACCCGUUGCACCGACGCCGCCGUAGCACUCACGACGUCGGCCACCGGGAGCGGCAGCGCGGCGGCAGGCCCCCGAGCCAGCUGGGCCGCACGCGCGGCGGCAGCCCAGCCAGCGGGAAGAAGGGCCACCGCCGCCGCAAACCGGUCGGCCGCCUCUUGAGGCGACGCCGGCCCCGGCAGGGGCGACGGCAGGCGUGCCCGCGUGCUCCAGUGCAGCACCCGCCUCCACACAGCAGUCACAUACAUAUCCGCACUCGCUUCACCAGACCGGGAGCCCUCCGCCCAAGGGCUUGUCAAUGCCUGCCGCAGUUCGUUCAGGCCGUCAUGCGCUGCAACCAGCUGGCCCACACACGCCAGUCCCGGCAGAGCGAACAAAUCCGCGAAAGCCAAUUCCCACGUGCGGCCGUCCACACACAGCGCCGGGUUAGCCCACAACGGCACAUGACUCACCCACGCGCCCGGCUCGGGCGGCGCCACAAGAGUCACCGCGGGCAAUGCAGUCAUGGCUUUCAGCAGGCGCGCAAACGGCUUGCCCGCCGGGGUGAGCGGCUUAUUCAGCACACGGUCCGCGGCCCCCCGCACCAAGAAACGCAGGGGCGUUGCCGCCGGGUGCACCUGGCGCAGCCACGCCGCCGCGACCCGGGUCCACGGGGGCACGUACGGCAGCAGAUCACACACACCCAACACACACCGGACCGCGAGACCGGCUUGCCGCGCUUUCACAUGCGGCACCAGCGGCAACAGGCCCGCCCCCCCCCACCGCCGGAGGCAGUUGCAUAAGGUCAAUGGAGAGGCCAACCGGGCGUGCAUGUGGGCUGGCAUCAAACUGGGCCGGCGACAGUCGCCGAUCCACCACCGCCGCCACCCUGGCUAGCAGCCGGUCCACAACGUACAGUUGGGGGAGACCCGCAAAUUCCAAAUGAUACAGGACCUUGCCCAAAGCAUAAGCCGACGCCGCGGCCGCCCGACCAAACAUGGACACGGGUAUGCGCGCGAUUUUGCUCAGCACCCCCAUCACGGCCUCAAACGUAAUUGGUGGGGAGCAUGCGCCCCAAUCCCCGUAAUGCACCCCUAGUGACUUGGCCGCCGGCACCACACGCCAGCCAGGGGGCAGGGGCGGGCCAGCCAUGCCGGCCGGCAGGGCGCCAGCACCGCCGACCGUCCCCAUCACCAUCAGUUCAACUUUAGUCAUAUUUAACCGUUGUCCAGACGCCCGCCGAAACACAUCCAUGUCCGCCAGGAACCCCGGCACCGCCUGAAACCCCUCCAGAAACGGCGUGCAAUCAUCCGCAUACUGGGACGCCAGCACCGACGCAAGGUUAGCGAGCACACCAUGCCCCCGGCUGCGUAGCCAUGACAGAAGGGCUUGUGCCACAGCGAGGUAGAGCAACGGAGCCAACGGGCAGCCCUGCCGCACGCCCGCCAUCAACGGCACCCAUCCUGACACACGUCCAUUCACCAACGCCGCCCCACGUGUAUCAGUUAACAGGCGGGACACCCACGUAAGAAAGCCCGCCCCCACGCCCAUGCGCUCCAGACACGCGAGCAGAAAAGAGCGGUCCACCGUAUCAUACGCCUUGUAAAAGUCGAGGAAGGCCGCCACAGCCGGGGCCUUUUUGGCGGCUUUCAACAGGCCAGGAGUAAGUUGGAGCAAGAGGACGUUAUCGGCAAUGCGACGGUCCGUCAGAAACGCAGUUUGCUCAGGGUCUAUGACACGCCCAAACACCGGUUGCAGUCGCAAGCACAACACCCGGGCAAGGGUGCGGUAAUCGGUAUCCGUCAGCGUGAUGGGGCGAUAAUUAGAGGGCUCGGUAGGGUCGCCCGACUUAAAGAAGAAAGACCACACGCCAUCCAGGAGCCCGUCAGGCACCCCAGCCCCCUCCCCCACCGCCGUAAACACAUCCGCUAGGACCGGCGCAAAAACACUGUCAUAGUGUUGGUAUACGGUAACUCCACCGGUAUGCCGUCAGGGCCCGCCGCGCGCCCAGCCGGCGCAGCGGCUAGCGCCGCGCGCACCUCCGCCGCCGAGACCGCAACCCGCCCCAGCUGAUCCGCCUCUUCGGCUGUACACCGGCGCCCGUGCUGUUGCAGCGCAUCCAGGACUUGCGUGCGGGCAUCCGGAGCGGGCGGCGGCGCGGCACUGACGUCCCUCCAGUACCGCGCCAUCACCUGCCCCAUGACCGUCGGGUCGGAUGUAGUGGUGCCAUUGGGCUGUUUCAACUUGGCAAUCACGCGCGGCCCACCCGCCGGCCGCAGCAUGCGCGUGAGGAGAGGGCAGGGCUUCUCGCCGCCACGCAGCCACGCGUGGCGCGUACGUCGCGCCGCGCCGGCGGCCGCGGCCACGGCGGCCUCCGCCGCCGUGCACCGCGCCCGCACGGCCGCCUGCGCCGCCACCUGCACAUCACCGCCAGCCUCCACCGCGGCGGCAGCUGCUGCCGCCGCAUCAAGCGCGGCCGCCUCCCGCUGGCUGGCGGCCACACGCCUCGCAACAGCUUCCCGGCUCAGGCGGUUGGCGGACGUGGCGGCAGCCCGUUUAAGGGCCGGCCACCACUCCAGCAGCUCAACAGGAUCAGUAGGGCGUGCCGCCAGGGCCGUACCCAGCCAGGCACGGUAGUCACGAUCCAAGUCUUUGAAGUCCCGGAAACCGAGGUGGGCCCUGGGCAGGCUCCGAGCGGGUGGCGCGGCUUCAGGCGACGCCGCAAGGGCAACCGUCACAAGCAUAUGAUCGGAGGGCACCCCGGCGGCGACGCCGCACUCCAGGACCUGCGGUUCGAGGCCGCCACUGCACAGAAUGCGGUCCAGCCGACUCGCCCCGUGAGGGUGGAAGAAGGUACACACGCGGCGAGCCGGGUGGCGCCGCCGUAACACGUCAAUGAGGCCAGGGCACGCCGCCGCCAGCGCGGCGGCUGCGGGUCCGUCGCUGCGCGCCCGGCCAGUGACGGUGUCCAGCGCCACAUCUGCCACAAAGUUGAAGUCAGCUGCCAGGAGGUGCUCGCCCGAGCCCGACGCCCGAAGGCCCACCCACUCACGAAUGAAAGCCUGCUGCGCUGUGGAUGCCAGGGGAAAGUAGGCUGACGUCAGCGUGAAGGUGUGUCCACCUUGGUUGGGUAUGGCUGCUAGUAACGCGAGUGGCGUUAGUCACCGCUGCAAGCGGUGCU
rnacentral:lncRNA from 1 species